rnacentral:lncRNA from 1 species
AUAUGAGUUUAGAGACAUAGAAGUGUCAUAGAGAUCAGAGAUUUUCUCUCUCUUGACCUUGAUGGAAUGUUUGGUUGAGCAACUUGAGAGUAUCACAUGUGGAGCCACCUUAGUAGCUACCAUUGGAGCUCGUGGUCGGUGGAGUUUAUUCACUAGGUCAUCUUCUCAGUAGAGUUAGCCGACUUGGCAUGCCUAGCCUUCCAACUCCUCUUAGCCAUCCCAAACCAGUUAGCCCUCUUCUAUGCC